rnacentral:rRNA from 1 species
GAUGAGCGCUGGCGGCGUGCCUAAUACAUGCAAGUCGAGCGAACAGAUGAGGAGCUUGCUCCUCUGACGUUAGCGGCGGACGGGUGAGUAACACGUGGAUAACCUACCUAUAAGACUGGGAUAACUUCGGGAAACCGGAGCUAAUACCGGAUAAUAUAUUGAACCGCAUGGUUCAAUAGUGAAAGACGGUUUUGCUGUCACUUAUAGAUGGAUCCGCGCCGCAUUAGCUAGUUGGUAAGGUAACGGCUUACCAAGGCAACGAUGCGUAGCCGACCUGAGAGGGGGAUGGGCCACAAGGGAACGGAGAAAGGGCCAAGACCCCUAGGGGAGGAAGAAGGAGGGAAGCUUCCGAAAGGGGGGAAAGCCUGACGGAGAAACGCCGGGGGAGUGAAGAAGGUUUUGGGAUGGUAAAACUCUGUUAUGAGGGAAAAAAAAAUGGGAAAGUAAAUAAGCAGGUUUGGACGGUACCAAAAGAGAAAGCGACGGAUAAAUAAGU